UAAAACAUCAACCAAAAAUAACCAGAGUAACAAUGAAAUUGUUCGUUAUCAUUUUUCAUUUUAACUAUAGAACGUUUGAUUUUGGAAACGACAGCAUGGCAAUAUAACGGCUUCCUGACAGUCAGGCUAGGUUGAAGUCUCAGUUGGAAAUUCCCUGUGUGUAUUUUGCAAUUUACUGUGACCUCCCGCAAUAGGUGAAAUCCGCUAUGUGGCAGCUCUUUAGUUAUUUAUCAGAAUCAUCAGAAUCAGAAAAACACAAGGAAUUUGUCUCCGGUAGUUGGAGCCGCUCUAGUAAGACAACAGACAGUCAAUUGACAGAGAAUGCUUUUGAGACAUAAAGACAUUGACAAAAAAGAAACAGUCACUGAGCAAUAAAGGGUUGCUCGUUAUCUGGUAAUGCCGGUACAUUUAUUUAUUUAUUUUUGACAUUUGUGCAAAAAGAUGCAGAGUCCUCUAGCACUUAGAGCAGUUCGAAAGACUAAUAUUACAAUAGUCCGGUGCAAUGACCAUUGUGCAAAGGGCGCCGAGACUUCAAGCGAGUUGUGCGAUAAUCUGGGAAAAUGUUGAUUGUGCAAAUCUUGCAGAUACUACUCAAUCAGUGUGCAAAUGGAGCAGAUGCUACUCUGCAUGAGUUGGUCAACAACAGAUAUGCAAAUAGUGCAGCGUGGUGAGACUACUACAGUGAGUGCAUGAGUAAUAUAUAAUUGGCUCCACAGAAAUGUGACAACACACUCAUGUUGGAAUGGAAUUGUGGGUUAGGUGUUUAAGAAGUUGAUUGCAAGAGGGAAGAAGCUGUUGGAAUGUCUGCUAGUUCUAGUUUGCAUUGAUUGGUAGCGCCUACCUGAGGGAAGGAGCUGGAAGAGCUGGUGACCGGGAUGUGGAGGGUCUGAGAGGAUUUUGCACGCCCUUGUCUUAGUUCUGGCAGCGUGCAAGUCCUCAAGGUUGGGUAGGGGGGUACCGACAAUCCUUUCAGCAGUUUUGAUUGUCCGUUGCAGUCGGAGUUUGUCCUUUUUUGUAGCAGCACCAAACCAGACUGUGAUGGAAGACCACAGGACUGAUUCGAUGACCGCUGUGUAGAACUGCCUCAGCAGCGCCUGUGGCAGGCCGUGCUUUCUCAAAAUCCACAGGAAGCACAUCCUCUGCUGGGCCUUUUGAGGACGGAGUUGAUGUUGGGUGCCCACUUCAUGUCCUGAGAGAAUGUAAUUCCCAGGAACUUGAAGGUCUUGACGGUUGACACAAGGCAGCUGGACAACGUGAGGGGCAGCUGUGGCGAAGGAUGCCUCCUGAAGUCCAUGAUCAUCUCUACAGUCUUGAGCGUGUUCAGCUCCAGGUUGUGUUGGCCGCACCACAGCUCCAGCCGCUCCACUUCUUGUCGAUAUGCAGACUCGUCACAGUCCUUGAUGAGGCCGAUGACAGUGGUGUCAUCUACAAACUUCAGGAGUUUGACAGCCGGGUGCGUUGAGGUGCAGUCGUUCGUGUCGAGAGAAGAGCAGCAGAGAGAGGACACAACCUUGGAGUGCCCCAGUGCUGAUGCUGCGUGUGGCUGAGGUGGCCUGCCCCAGCCUCACCUGCUGUGUCCUGCCCGUCAGGAAGCUGUAAAUCCACUGGCAGAUGGAAGGGAGUGUAGAUUCGCGAGGUGGAUGGACGGAAACGCCAAUCUGUACCUUCUCUUGCGGAGUUUCACCUGGAUGCCGGCUCGCUUCCCUCUGUGGCGUCGCCUCCGUUUCCAUGCGCCGAGGACCGCGGUCGCUGCUUCG